UAUAAGGAGUGGCUUUCAGAAGAAUUUAACCACCACUGCCAUCUGAUGACUGGCCAAUCAGAAUGAGCAGUAGCCUUAAUAGAGUAUGAAUAAUACAAGUAGUGUGGAAUAAUCAGGUCAUGCCUAUGUCCUGGAGAAAAGGAGAAGCUCCCGUCUGGAAGUGUUUGUUGGAGAAGCCGUGUUUGAUUUGGUCAUGAGCUUCCGAAUGUCUGCCAUAGUCCCCUGCCCAACCUGCAGAUGAGGCCGUUCUCCUGCAUCACUUCUGAAGGAGAACCCCAAGACACCUGCCCACCCUGAACACACUGUAGCUGAAGCAGAACCAAACAUUUCCAGUAUUAACCACUGAGAUUCCAGGGUUUCUGGCUUACUGCAACCUUGCCUGCCCUAUUCUGACUCUGCAAUGUGUGUGUCCUGGACUUCAAUUUGGUUAAUGUGUUUGAACAGUGUCUAUUGGGAAGAGGCUUGAUUCUUUAAGUUGUAUGUCUUUGGAUAACUGAAGAGAAUCAGGCAAGUGCUAAUGAAGCCCAAUUUUUAGGUAUGGCUUCAAAGUGGCUCCCAGCAGCUCAUGGGUGUCCUAGGAAUUCCAAACUCUGGCUUUCUGUCUUCCGCUCUGGUUCUCAUUCACCAUACUCUCUUUGAACUGGCAUACAGUAGGCAGAUGCAAAAUAAGCCCAGAUA